rnacentral:rRNA from 1 species
CUCGUAGGUGGCCAACUAAGUCAAACGUGAAAUCCCUCGGCUUAACCGGGGAACUGCGUCUGAUACUGGAUGGCUUGAGAUUGGGAGAGGGAUGCGGAAUUCCAGGUGUAGCGGUGAAAUGCGUAGAUAUCUGGAGGAACACCGGUGGCGAAGGCGGCAUCCUGGACCAACACUGACACUGAGGAGCGAAAGCCAGGGAGCAAACG